rnacentral:rRNA from 1 species
UUAAGCGACUAAGCGUACACGGUGGAUGCCCUGGCAGUCAGAGGCGAUGAAGGACGUGCUAAUCUGCGAAAAGCGCCGGCGAGGUGAUAUGAACCCUUGACCCGGCGAUGUCCGAAUGGGGAAACCCAGUGCAAUCCGUUGCACUAUCGUUAACUGAAUACAUAGGUUAACGAGGCGAACCGGGGGAACUGAAACAUCUAAGUACCCCGAGGAAAAGAAAUCAACCGAGAUUCCCCCAGUAGCGGCGAGCGAACGGGGAGCAGCCCGGAGUCUGAAUCAGCUUGUGUGUUAGUGGAACGGUCUGGAAAGUCCGACGGUACAGGGUGAUAGUCCCGUACACGAAAGCACACUUGCUGUGAACUCGAAGAGUAGGGCGGGACACGUGGUAUCCUGUCUGAAUAUGGGGGGACCAUCCUCCAAGGCUAAAUACUCCUGACUGACCGAUAGUGAACCAGUACCGUGAGGGAAAGGCGAAAAGAACCCCGGCGAGGGGAGUGAAAAAGAACCUGAAACCGUGUACGUACAAGCAGUGGGAGCCUCUUUAUGGGGUGACUGCGUACCUUUUGUAUAAUGGGUCAGCGACUUAUAUUCUGUAGCAAGGUUAACCGUAUAGGGGAGCCGAAGGGAAACCGAGUCUUAACUGGGCGUUAAGUUGCAGGGUAUAGACCCGAAACCCGGUGAUCUAGCCAUGGGCAGGUUGAAGGUUGGGUAACACUAACUGGAGGACCGAACCGACUAAUGUUGAAAAAUUAGCGGAUGACCUGUGGCUGGGGGUGAAAGGCCAAUCAAACCGGGAGAUAGCUGGUUCUCCCCGAAAGCUAUUUAGGUAGCGCCUCGUGAACUCAUCUUCGGGGGUAGAGCACUGUUUCGGCUAGGGGGCCAUCCCGGCUUACCAACCCGAUGCAAACUACGAAUACCGAAGAAUGUUAUCACGGGAGACACACGGCGGGUGCUAACGUCCGUCGUGAAGAGGGAAACAACCCAGACCGCCAGCUAAGGUCCCAAAGUCAUGGUUAAGUGGGAAACGAUGUGGGAAGGCACAGACAGCCAGGAUGUUGGCUUAGAAGCAGCCAUCAUUUAAAGAAAGCGUAAUAGCUCACUGGUCGAGUCGGCCUGCGCGGAAGAUGUAACGGGGCUAAACCAUGCACCGAAGCUGCGGCAGCGACGCUUAUGCGUUGUUGGGUAGGGGAGCGUUCUGUAAGCCGUUGAAGGUGUGCUGUGAGGCAUGCUGGAGGUAUCAGAAGUGCGAAUGCUGACAUAAGUAACGAUAAAGCGGGUGAAAAGCCCGCUCGCCGGAAGACCAAGGGUUCCUGUCCAACGUUAAUCGGGGCAGGGUGAGUCGACCCCUAAGGCGAGGCCGAAAGGCGUAGUCGAUGGGAAACAGGUUAAUAUUCCUGUACUUGGUGUUACUGCGAAGGGGGGACGGAGAAGGCUAUGUCAGCCGGGCGACGGUUGUCCCGGUUUAAGCAUGUAGGCGGAGGUUCCAGGUAAAUCCGGUACCUUAUUAACGCUGAGGUGUGAUGACGAGGCACUACGGUGCUGAAGUGAUAAAUGCCCUGCUUCCAGGAAAAGCCUCUAAGCAUCAGGUAACACGAAAUCGUACCCCAAACCGACACAGGUGGUCAGGUAGAGAAUACCAAGGCGCUUGAGAGAACUCGGGUGAAGGAACUAGGCAAAAUGGUGCCGUAACUUCGGGAGAAGGCACGCUGAUGUGUAGGUGAAGCCCCUGCGGACGGAGCUGAAAUCAGUCGAAGAUACCAGCUGGCUGCAACUGUUUAUUAAAAACACAGCACUGUGCAAACACGAAAGUGGACGUAUACGGUGUGACGCCUGCCCGGUGCCGGAAGGUUAAUUGAUGGGGUUAGCGGCAACGCGAAGCUCUUGAUCGAAGCCCCGGUAAACGGCGGCCGUAACUAUAACGGUCCUAAGGUAGCGAAAUUCCUUGUCGGGUAAGUUCCGACCUGCACGAAUGGCGUAAUGAUGGCCAGGCUGUCUCCACCCGAGACUCAGUGAAAUUGAACUCGCUGUGAAGAUGCAGUGUACCCGCGGCAAGACGGAAAGACCCCGUGAACCUUUACUAUAGCUUGACACUGAACACUGGUCCUUGAUGUGUAGGAUAGGUGGGAGGCUUUGAAGCGUGGACGCCAGUCUGCGUGGAGCCNGACCCGUAAUCCGGGUUGCGGACAGUGUCUGGUGGGUAGUUUGACUGGGGCGGUCUCCUCCCAAAGAGUAACGGAGGAGCACGAAGGUUGGCUAAUCCUGGUCGGACAUCAGGAGGUUAGUGCAAUGGCAUAAGCCAGCUUGACUGCGAGCGUGACGGCGCGAGCAGGUGCGAAAGCAGGUCAUAGUGAUCCGGUGGUUCUGAAUGGAAGGGCCAUCGCUCAACGGAUAAAAGGUACUCCGGGGAUAACAGGCUGAUACCGCCCAAGAGUUCAUAUCGACGGCGGUGUUUGGCACCUCGAUGUCGGCUCAUCACAUCCUGGGGCUGAAGUAGGUCCCAAGGGUAUGGCUGUUCGCCAUUUAAAGUGGUACGCGAGCUGGGUUUAGAACGUCGUGAGACAGUUCGGUCCCUAUCUGCCGUGGGCGCUGGAGAAUUGAGGGGGGCUGCUCCUAGUACGAGAGGACCGGAGUGGACGCAUCACUGGUGUUCGGGUUGUCAUGCCAAUGGCACUGCCCGGUAGCUAAAUGCGGAAGAGAUAAGUGCUGAAAGCAUCUAAGCACGAAACUUGCCCCGAGAUGAGUUCUCCCUGAGACUUUAAGUCUCCUGAAGGAACGUUGAAGACGACGACGUUGAUAGGUCGGGUGUGUAAGCGCAGCGAUGCGUUGAGCUAACCGAUACUAAUGAACCGUGAGGCUUAACCUU